rnacentral:rRNA from 1 species
ACUCCUACGGGAGGCAGCAGUGGGGAAUAUUGCACAAUGGGCGCAAGCCUGAUGCAGCCAUGCCGCGUGUAUGAAGAAGGCCUUCGGGUUGUAAAGUACUUUCAGCAGUGAGGAAGGUGGUAUGUUAAUAGUACAUACUCAUUUGACUGUUAGCUUGCAGAAGAAGACACCGCGUAACUCCGUGCCAGCAGCCGCGGUAAUACGGAGGGUGCAAGCGUUAUCCGGAAU